rnacentral:rRNA from 1 species
GCUUGUCUCAAAGAUUAAGCCAUGCAUGUCUAAGUAUAAAUGGUAUACAGUGAAACUGCGAAUGGCUCAUUAAAACAGUUAUAGUUUAUUUGGUAAUCGAAUUUACAUGGAUAACCGUGGUAAUUCUAGAGCUAAUACAUGCUGUAAAGCCCGACUUUUCGGAAGGGCCGUAUUUAUUAGAUAACAGACCAAUAUUCCUCGUGUCUAUUGUGGUGAAUCAUAGUAACUGAUCGGACCGUGCGUUAGCGCGGUAAAUCGUUCAAGUUUCUGCCCUAUCAGCUUUCGAUGGUAGUGUAUUGGACUACCAUGGCAGUCACGGGUAACGGAGAAUUAGGGUUCGGUUCCGGAGAGGGAGCCUGAGAAACGGCUACCACAUCCAAGGAAGGCAGCAGG